rnacentral:rRNA from 1 species
UACGUAGGGUGCAAGCGUUAAUCGGAAUUACUGGGCGUAAAGCGUGCGCAGGCGGUUCGCUAAGACCGAUGUGAAAUCCCCGGGCUUAACCUGGGAACUGCAUUUGUGACUGCACGGCUGGAGUGCGGCAGAGGGGGAUGGAAUUCCGCGUGUAGCAGUGAAAUGCGUAGAUAUGCGGAGGAACACCAAUGGCGAAGGCAAUCCCCUGGGCCUGCACUGACGCUCAUGCACGAAAGCGUGGGGAGCAAACAGG